CCUACGGGUGGCAGCAGUGGGGAAUAUUGCACAAUGGGGGAAACACUGAAGCAGCGACGCAGCGUGAGGGAAGAAGGGCCUCGGCGCGUAAAGCUGUGUCAGCAGGAACGAAAAUGACGGUACGUGAAGAAGAAGCCCCGGCUAACUACGUGCCAGCAGCCGCGGUUAUACGUAGGGGGCAAGCGUUAUCCGGAUUUACUGGGUGUAAAGGGAGCGUAGACGGCGGGGCAAGGCUGGAGUGAAAGGCCGGGGCCCAACCCCGGCACCGCUCUGGAAACUGUCCGGCUGGAGUGCGGGAGAGGUAUGCGGAAUUCCUAGUGUAGCGGUGAAAUGCGUAGAUAUUAGGAGGAACACCAGCGGCGAAGGCGGCUUACUGGACCGUGACUGACGUUGAGGCUCGAAAGCGUGGGGAGCAAACAGGAUUAGAUACCCUUGUAGUC
rnacentral:rRNA from 1 species